rnacentral:rRNA from 1 species
UACGAAGGGGGCUAGCGUUGCUCGGAAUCACUGGGCGUAAAGCGCACGUAGGCGGAUUGCUAAGUCAGGGGUGAAAUCCUGGAGCUCAACUCCAGAACUGCCUUUGAUACUGGCGACCUUGAGUCCGGGAGAGGUGAGUGGAACUGCGAGUGUAGAGGUGAAAUUCGUAGAUAUUCGCAAGAACACCAGUGGCGAAGGCAGCUCGCUGGGACGUAACUGACGCUGAGGCACGAAAGCGUGGGGAGCAAACAGG